rnacentral:rRNA from 1 species
GAUUAAGUUAUUAAGGGCGCACGGUGGAUGCCUUGGCACUAGAAGCCGAUGAAGGACGUUACUAACGACGAUAUGCUUUGGGGAGCUGUAAGUAAGCUUUGAUCCAGAGAUUUCCGAAUGGGGAAACCCAGCAUGAGUUAUGUCAUGUUAUCGAUAUGUGAAUACAUAGCAUAUCAGAAGGCACACCCGGAGAACUGAAACAUCUUAGUACCCGGAGGAAGAGAAAGAAAAUUCGAUUCCCUUAGUAGCGGCGAGCGAAACGGGAGGAGCCCAAACCAACAAGCUUGCUUGUUGGGGUUGUAGGAUACUCUAUACGGAGUUACAAAGGACGACAUUAGACGAAUCAUCUGGAAAGAUGAAUCAAAGAAGGUAAUAAUCCUGUAGUCGAAAAUGUUGUCUCUCUUGAGUGGAUCCUGAGUACGACGGAGCACGUGAAAUUCCGUCGGAAUCUGGGAGGACCAUCUCCUAAGGCUAAAUACUCUCUAGUGACCGAUAGUGAACCAGUACCGUGAGGGAAAGGUGAAAAGCACCCCGGAAGGGGAGUGAAAUAGAACCUGAAACCGUGUGCUUACAAGUAGUCAGAGCCCGUUAAUGGGUGAUGGCGUGCCUUUUGUAGAAUGAACCGGCGAGUUACGAUUUGAUGCAAGGUUAAGCAGUAAAUGUGGAGCCGUAGCGAAAGCGAGUCUGAAUAGGGCGUUUAGUAUUUGGUCGUAGACCCGAAACCAGGUGAUCUACCCUUGGUCAGGUUGAAGUUCAGGUAACACUGAAUGGAGGACCGAACCGACUUACGUUGAAAAGUGAGCGGAUGAACUGAGGGUAGCGGAGAAAUUCCAAUCGAACCUGGAGAUAGCUGGUUCUCUCCGAAAUAGCUUUAGGGCUAGCCUCAAGUGAUGAUUAUUGGAGGUAGAGCACUGUUUGGACGAGGGGCCCCUCUCGGGUUACCGAAUUCAGACAAACUCCGAAUGCCAAUUAAUUUAACUUGGGAGUCAGAACAUGGGUGAUAAGGUCCGUGUUCGAAAGGGAAACAGCCCAGACCACCAGCUAAGGUCCCAAAAUAUAUGUUAAGUGGAAAAGGAUGUGGCGUUGCCCAGACAACUAGGAUGUUGGCUUAGAAGCAGCCAUCAUUUAAAGAGUGCGUAAUAGCUCACUAGUCGAGUGACACUGCGCCGAAAAUGUACCGGGGCUAAACAUAUUACCGAAGCUGUGGAUUGUCCUUUGGACAAUGGUAGGAGAGCGUUCUAAGGGCGUUGAAGCAUGAUCGUAAGGACAUGUGGAGCGCUUAGAAGUGAGAAUGCCGGUGUGAGUAGCGAAAGACGGGUGAGAAUCCCGUCCACCGAUUGACUAAGGUUUCCAGAGGAAGGCUCGUCCGCUCUGGGUUAGUCGGGUCCUAAGCUGAGGCCGACAGGCGUAGGCGAUGGAUAACAGGUUGAUAUUCCUGUACCACCUAUAAUCGUUUUAAUCGAUGGGGGGGACGCAGUAGGAUAGGCGAAGCGUGCGAUUGGAUUGCACGUCUAAGCAGUAAGGCUGAGUAUUAGGCAAAUCCGGUACUCGUUAAGGCUGAGCUGUGAUGGGGAGAAGACAUUGUGUCUUCGAGUCGUUGAUUUCACACUGCCGAGAAAAGCCUCUAGAUAGAAAAUAGGUGCCCGUACCGCAAACCGACACAGGUAGUCAAGAUGAGAAUUCUAAGGUGAGCGAGCGAACUCUCGUUAAGGAACUCGGCAAAAUGACCCCGUAACUUCGGGAGAAGGGGUGCUCUUUAGGGUUAACGCCCAGAAGAGCCGCAGUGAAUAGGCCCAAGCGACUGUUUAUCAAAAACACAGGUCUCUGCUAAACCGUAAGGUGAUGUAUAGGGGCUGACGCCUGCCCGGUGCUGGAAGGUUAAGAGGAGUGGUUAGCUUCUGCGAAGCUACGAAUCGAAGCCCCAGUAAACGGCGGCCGUAACUAUAACGGUCCUAAGGUAGCGAAAUUCCUUGUCGGGUAAGUUCCGACCCGCACGAAAGGCGUAACGAUUUGGGCACUGUCUCAACGAGAGACUCGGUGAAAUCAUAGUACCUGUGAAGAUGCAGGUUACCCGCGACAGGACGGAAAGACCCCGUGGAGCUUUACUGUAGCCUGAUAUUGAAAUUCGGCACAGCUUGUACAGGAUAGGUAGGAGCCUUUGAAACGUGAGCGCUAGCUUACGUGGAGGCGCUGGUGGGAUACUACCCUAGCUGUGUUGGCUUUCUAACCCGCACCACUUAUCGUGGUGGGAGACAGUGUCAGGCGGGCAGUUUGACUGGGGCGGUCGCCUCCUAAAAGGUAACGGAGGCGCUCAAAGGUUCCCUCAGAAUGGUUGGAAAUCAUUCAUAGAGUGUAAAGGCAUAAGGGAGCUUGACUGCGAGACCUACAAGUCGAGCAGGGUCGAAAGACGGACUUAGUGAUCCGGUGGUUCCGCAUGGAAGGGCCAUCGCUCAACGGAUAAAAGCUACCCCGGGGAUAACAGGCUUAUCUCCCCCAAGAGUUCACAUCGACGGGGAGGUUUGGCACCUCGAUGUCGGCUCAUCGCAUCCUGGGGCUGUAGUCGGUCCCAAGGGUUGGGCUGUUCGCCCAUUAAAGCGGUACGCGAGCUGGGUUCAGAACGUCGUGAGACAGUUCGGUCCCUAUCCGUCGUGGGCGUAGGAAAUUUGAGAGGAGCUGUCCUUAGUACGAGAGGACCGGGAUGGACAUACCUCUGGUGUACCAGUUGUCGUGCCAACGGCAUAGCUGGGUAGCUAUGUGUGGACGGGAUAAGUGCUGAAAGCAUCUAAGCAUGAAGCCCCCCUCAAGAUGAGAUUUCCCAACUUCGGUUAUAAGAUCCCUCAAAGAUGAUGAGGUUAAUAGGUUCGAGGUGGAAGCAUGGUGACAUGUGGAGCUGACGAAUACUAAUCGAUCGAAGACUUAAUCAA